AACCGAGAACUCCUACGGGAGGCAGCAGUGGGGAAUUUUGGACAAUGGGGGCAACCCUGAUCUAGCAUUGCCCUGUGUGUUAAGAAGGCCUUCGGUUUGUAAAGCUCUUUUGUCAUGGAAGAAACUGUAGUAGCUAAUAUCUAUUACUAAUGACGGUACCUGAAGAAUAAGCACUGGCUAACUACGUGCCAGCAGCCGCGGUAAUACGUAGGGUGCAAGCGUUAAUCGGAAUUACUGGGCGUAAAGCGUGCGCAGGCGGUUGUGUAAGUCAGAUGUGAAAUCCCCGGGCUCAACCUGGGAAUUGCAUUUGAGACUGCACGGCUAGAGUGUGUCAGAGGGGGGUAGAAUUCCACGUGUAGCAGUGAAAUGCGUAGAUAUGUGGAGGAAUACCGAUGGCGAAGGCAGCCCCCUGGGAUAACACUGAAGCUCAUGCACGAAAGCGUGGGGAGCAAACAGGAUUAGAAACCCGUGUAGUCCGACUGAGA
rnacentral:rRNA from 1 species